rnacentral:lncRNA from 1 species
AUUGUCAAUUUUUUAAAAUGAAAUCUUUUUCAUUCAGUUAUAUGUUGGACUUUUAAUUCAAAGUCUUUUUGUUUCUUUGUUUUUGUUUUAAAUUUUACUCACAAAGGUUCUAUACAAUUCUAACUAUGCUUAUUUCUAAGUAUUAUAAUUUUUAUAUUUGAAUUGUUCUCUUAGCAAUCAGUCUACUUGCAUUGUACUGCCACAUUGCUAAGGAGAAAUGUUAACCAUGAUAAAUAAAUUAUUCUAUAUGAAAACCAUGUGAGAAGCAGUUUGAACAUAAUUAGGGUCUGCAGUUUGGAAAGAUGCCCCUGAGUUCUGACUUGGAGUAUUUUUUGACAUCACCAUUGUGUUGUUUGUUUUCCUGUGUGUGUGUGCAUCUUGCUCCUCUCUCCCUGUCAUUGUACUCUCCACAGGAUUUUUCUCCUGACAUUCACGCAUGCACCCCCACCCAUCUUGGCUUAUGUAGAAAAUUACUGCCCAUGUCUUUGAGAUGCAUUCUUGGAACACCCAGAACAAAUGCUCUUUAUACCCAAAAGUCUUAGUUUAAAAUCAGACAAUUCAAACAGAGCCUUUAGAUUUGUGGAAAUCCAAUUAUCCACUUUUAUGAGAUAUCAUCACAAACAGAUGAAAAUAUAUUCAUAUGCUUUAAUAUAUAUUCAUAGGUAAGAUUUGUUUGUAAUUUUCUUUUUUGCUAUCUAUGGUUUUGUUCUAGAUAAUGCUGGUUUCAUAAAAUAGAUUGUACACCUUAUGUCAUUUUCUGAACUCUGAAACAAUUUGAAUAGUGUGAUAGAUGUUAAGCCCUUGAAAGUGUGAAUUUACUUCUCAUGAAAAAUAAUCUACAAGUUGUACUUUGACACCUGUUCCAAUUCCUCUCUGUUCAUGCAUUCAAGUUGUUGAAUGCCUGCCCUCUGCCAGAAACCAUAUUAGAUAUGUUUCAGUUUCUACUUAUCCUUGAUUCAAUUUGAAGUAAUUAUUUUGACCCAGAGAUUCAUCAGUUUCAUUGAGAUAUUCAAAUUGAGUGAAGUUAUGCAUAAUCUUCUUUUAUAAUUUUUGAAUCUCUUCUAAUUUGGAUUUUUGUGUUUUCACUUUUUUCAUUAGACUUGUCAUAUGUGUAUAUUCUAUUGCUUAUAUGUAGAGAGUUUGUCUUGAAUAUCUCAGUUCUGCUUUUUCCCUCUAUUUUUAAGUAUAUUAGCUUCUGAUCUUAUUAUUUACAUUUUUCUAGUAUAUUUAUACUUAUUUUCUAAUUUCUUAAUGAAUCUAUAGUAAUUGUUUUCUUCAAUAAUGACCGUAUUUACAGCCAAACAUGUAUCUCUGGUAACUGCUGUGGCUGCAUUUUCAUGUGUUUUUAUAUGUAAUGUUCUACGUUUUCAUUUUAUAAAUAGUUUGUAUUUUUAUCGUAAGCUUAAAAUAUAUUCAGUCAUUUUAUGUGUCACAAAAGAAACAGACACAUUUAAGCUAGCAAAAAACUUUUCAUACAAAGCCUGUGUGUCUUCUGGCUUUGAAUAAUAACCACAGUCACUUGAAAUACUUUAAAUUUUAUGUGAUUAAAAUUAAGGCCUAGAAAUUUAUUAAUGGAAUACUUCAAACCUAAAUUUUAUUUUUAAGAGUCUUUAUCCUCCUAGACUGAUUUUUUUUUGACUAAUUGUGUUCUCUAUUAAGACAUAAGUUAAGUUUUAUUCAUCUUUUUAUUAUCUAAGACAUGUAUGCUUACAGGAACAUAAUAGGUUUGCAUAAAUUUUAUUAAACACAUAAAGGCAGUCUAUAGAAAAUAUCGUUUUCAGGACAAGAAAUAAUCAUCUACUUUAGGAAUCUGAGUAACCACUGGAAAUCUCUGUGUUCUAUUAAUCUGAACAGUUGCUAUUACAGGCAACAGAAAUGCAAAUUUGUUUGAGUAAAUAGAGGGGACUUAGGGUGGCAUAUGUGGGUUAACAGGCACCAGGCAAACACAACAGGAUCACAAGCGAUGUUGUCAGGAUCUAUUGUCCUUGCUCCAUCUUUUGAAUCUGCUUUCUUCUGUGUUGGAGUUCUUAAGGCCCUCUGCUCAUGUCAGGAAAGAUGUCAAUAGCAGCUACAAGCGUAUGGGAUUUACCAGCUAGCAAUUCCAAGAAAUAAUAUAUUUCCCAAGUAAAGCCACUAGGAAGGCUCAAUUCAGCCCAUUUCUGACUCAAUUCCUGAGGCUGGGAGGAUGAGCUCCUCUAAGAUUCCAGGCCUGGGCAUGAUCACACCUCUGUAAUGAGGGCAUGUUCACACCUCUGUAGUGAGGUGUAAUGACGGGGGCAGCUCUCCUCCACCACCUGGGCUGGUGCCCAUCAUGUAGGAAGGUUUGUUUCAGAAGACCAGAGGAUGAAUAUUGGGGCAGGCAACAGGUAAGAGAUGUUUGCAAAAUCAUUGUUUUCAUAAUUUUGAAUGUCCUAUACUUUCAAUUGUAACAUGAUUGCCUGACAUCAAUUCAAAACCCUGAGCUCCCUAGAGAGCUCAGUUGGUGUUGCUGUUCUCUUUACUCUUUCUUUAGCCAUGAGCUUCAACUAGUUCUCAGCUCAAGUCUUACAGCUCCUCUUUUGUUUCUUUAUGUUGAGGAGCGGGGGAAGAUUACAUUCAACUUCAGACAGCUUGGAAAAAGUUAGAAGCAAAAGAUGAAUCUGAAUGCUGUCUGAUAGUCCAUUUUUAAUCAGAGGAGAGCAAUUUUCCCUUCUCAAAGAAUGUCUCUUCACAUCAGGUAUUUGGCUUCUAGGUGCUUGCUGAUUAAUUACUUACAUUUACAUAACAUUAAUCUCCUUUCUAACAAUUUAGCAGGCUUCCAGCCGUUUUCCCCGCCUCAUCAGUCUGGCAGAACAUCCUCGAUCUUAAAAGAGCCACAACUACUUUUGCAAUGUGUAGAUUUUGAAAACUUACUUAAAUAAAACAGAAUAAAAAUCUUAAGCAAAGCUAUAAAUGAUUAUAUCUUCCAUGUAUAUUAGGUAGAUAUCUGAAUGAAAUGCUUGGUCUACACACUUUAUUUUGAGUUGUGUAUAUGGAAAAUAUCUUCCCUUCUGUUUUGAAAUUCCUUCCUUGAAUUCUUUCCCAGAAUCUUAUUCAUUCAUUCUAAGCUCAGCUCCAAUAACACCUCCUUUUGGAGGACCUUCCAGAGCCUCCUGGUCACUUGAUAUCUUUCAUUACAAUUCCACAUCACUAUUUGGGAUUACAUUCAUGCAUUCAUUCAACAGAAAUUUAUUGAGCUCUUCCAAUGUUAACCCCUAUGUAGGUGCUGGGGGCAAAAAUGUGAUGAAAAACAGAAAUAGUCUCUGCUUUCCAGAACCCUCAGUCAAAAGGGAUGUGUAAGGUAUAGUGACUGUGAUGUCACAAAGAUAGGAAUUUAGCCAGGAGGAAAUACUUGCAUUAGAUCUUGAGGAAUAAGCCCAAGUUCACCACACAAGUAAAGAAUGGGGUUGGCAGUACUGUCCUUACAUGGGCCAAGAAGGGUACCCCAUGCUUUCAGGAUCCUGCUGUGUCCUUUCUCUAGCUCUGCACCACCCUAUGUUUCUGCUUUCUAGAACCGGUUUCAACCACCCAGUGCCCCAGAGUUCCCUACCCAAACAUCCCCAAACUCCCUUCCAGGCCUGCACUGGACUUUUCCCCAAGUCCGUACUCUUAAAGGCCAGAAUGUGCUGAUAGUGUGUGUACCCUAGGCCCAAGCUUUGGGGUGAUGUUGGGGAGGGUGAGUGGAGCUUAGAUUAAGUGGUCCAUACAUCUAUACCCAAAAGCGUUUGUUGAAUUGGAGAAAGCCAGGGAGCAGAGAGCAGUGGAGCGGGCUGGCAUAUUCUACAGCAGUAAGUUCCAGCAUGGAAAAAUCCAAGGAGCCUGAAAAUUCUAAAUCUGAGCUUGGCCUUCAGGUCAUUAUGAAGAUAUAUUUGUCACAUAGGAAGACAGAAUGCAUUUUUACAUAACAGUUUGUUGGCUUGAUUUAUAACUUUUAAAUGUAUGCAUGUUUGAUAGGUGUGCUUCCAUUUAUGCUCUUGCCUUGGGCUGCAGAAAUGUUAGGGCAGGCCUGGAAGCAAGGCACAGAGAUGGUUCUGAGCCGACAGAAGAGAGACAGAAAGGUCCAGAGGUGUAAUUUGGGAAUCCAAUCACAAGCAGGUUGGUGUGACCACAGAAUGACUUGGAAAUUGGCUAGUUAUGCAUGUGUUCAUCUUUCCCUCCAGACGGUAUAUUCUCUGAGGUCAAAUGCCAUGGAACAUUCAUUCCUGUGUUUGGCAGAACAUUUUAUACAGAGUAAGCCCUCAAUUUAUGGUAGAUGAAUUCAUGUUGAACUAAUGAGGUGAUAUACAUUACUUAGAGGGAAACCACAAAUACACUUACACUUUCCACCAUUAACUUAUCAUUAAGACAGCUGUAGUUAAAUCAAUAAUAAAACCUUAAUUUAUAUCAACUGAUACAUGUUACAUGUGGAGUGGGUCUAUGCUAUUUUGGUUUAGUCACAGAUAACUGGUAAUAAGUAAAAUAAGAAAAACAAAAAUGUGGCUAAUAUGCAAGUGUUGUGUCUCAGUUUACUUUUCUAAAAAAUAGGGGCUUAUUGUGCUAACCCAAGCCACUAUAGGCAGGAACGUGACCAUGCAUCGAGCACUCAGAGGGGCAGGCAUUCUAGGAGAUAGAUCUCCAAUGAGAGCUUGGCACCCUCUGACCCUCUGACCUGUUCACAAGGCCCAGCCAUGUUCACUGUUGAGUGCAGGGUCUUUCCAACACAGUUUAGAAUGAAUUGUAUGUGUAAGAUUUCUAAGUUUUUGAAUGUUCUUUUUUUCUUUCACAGGCAUAAGGCAGCCAAGAAGGAUGAGCCGGUGAUCUCUGCAGUCUGCCCAUAACUCCACACAAAACUUUACCCAUUGUCACAGGAGAGUAUAAGCAUAGCAUAAAGAUCCUCGUAGAUGGACUUUCAGCUCCAUGCUUAAAGCAACUGACAAGAAUCCAUUUCUUUUCAGUGUACAAGUGAAGGGUAAAAGACAGAGAAGGAAGAUAGAGCAUAGGAAAAAGAGUGGGGUGAUAUUUGUCCAUUCAUUUGUUGAAGAAAUGGUUAAAUAAAGGAAUGAAUGACUAAAGACCAGGUUGGCAGGUGAAAGCCAGGGCAGGGGCCUGGGGCAGCAGGCAGAGACACAGCUCUCACAAAUGCAAGAGGAAGACGAAUCAGGCACUCGUCUGUUCUUCAAAGGAUACAGAAUGGUUUUAUUGACCACCUGUACAUGUGAUGGCUUUCAUCCUGGAGGAGAAGGGCAUAUCCACACCUACCGAAUAUCUGUUUCACAGGCAAUGUGCCAAUUAUUUACAUGCAUAAUCUCAGUAAAUCCUUAGACAACUCUGUGGAGGCAUUUACUGAUAUCUCCAUUUUACCCAGGAGGACACUGAGGUCCAGAGAGAUUAAACCAUUUGUCUGAGGUCACACGGCCAGUGAAAUUUUGAUGCAGGAUUUAAAUCCAAGUCUGUCUCUUACCACUGUAUCAUGCUGUUUUCAGAGGUGAGGGGAGGUGUCUUAAGAGUACCAUAUGGCUUCUGCCACUGGGGAGACCACUGUCAAAUUCCAAGAGGAAGAUCAUGAGGGUCUCAACUGAAUUACUGAAGGGGAGAUUGUGUGAGAAGAGACAGAUUUAAGACUUAUCUGCAGGGUAGAAAUUGGAUUGGUGAACUUAAUACAAUGUUUCUUUAUUCAUUCAUUUAUUCAUUUCAAUAUUCACUGAGUUUUAUUAUGUGUCAAGACACUGCAUUUAGUUGGCCCAGGGAAGAAUAAAUGUGAAUAGGACACUGCAUUCAAUGAAUGCUGAUUCUAGAAUGAGCAGCAAACUAAAUCCAGUAAUGAUAUUACAGCAUCACCACAUACUUUCAAUUCUACCUCUUAAAUAUCUCAAUCUAUUUCUUCUUUUCUACCCUCACUGACAUGUGGUUCACAGACCUCAUUAUCUCUCACCCGUUGCUGUAGCAGUCUCAUACCAGGCCUUCCCAUCUUGUAUGUGGCACUAACUCGAGUAUAAGGCCAUUUCAUGGUUUUCUGCCAAGAAUUGUUUUCUCAGCUCAUUGGCAAAACAAACACAGCUUCAGUUCCUAACCUGAAAAGUUUAUGCAUGAAGAAUUUAAAAUAUUAGUAAUCUUUUAUUUAACGUAUAUUUUUUGAACACCUACUAUGUGUGAAGUCUUGAGCAGGCACCAAGUAUGUCACUGCAAGAGGCAUGGCCUGUCUUUGAGGGAGGUACAGACAAGUAAAUAGGCAACCCUAAUACAGUGCUAUAAGUGUAAAUGCCUAAAAUAGUUUAAUGGGGUAAAUUUUGGUAGAAUAUAGGAGGGGCAUUUCUUCCAAACUAAGAGUCAGAUGGAGGAAGUGACAUUUAAACAAAAAAAAUGAGAGAAAUAUGUAUGUUUGGAGAUGCUCUCCAACAGAACCUUUCAUCCUACUCAAAAAUAUUUUGAAUGUAUCUUUUGAGAUAUAGGGAGCUAGAAACAUUAAAGAAAAUAUUGUGCUAUUUUUUUCUGGAACUUGAAAACAGAACAGAUUGUAAGAUGGGGAAUGUUUCCUCACUAAUGACUUUAAUAAAAACUCAAAAUCUACUUGUCAGCUUUAAUAUUCAGAGGCAUGUUAUGAGGGCGCCAACUAAAUUGUAUCUUUCUAAUCCUUUUCUCAGUCAUCUUUUAUCCUUCCUAUCCCCUUUGUUGAAAGAACUGCCAAAGCUAAUUCCCUAUCCUGGAGUUUAGGUUGAUAAAUGGAAAGAUUAUUUCCACUGGGAAUAUUGAUAGGCUCCAGGUCUUGACGCUUGGGUUUUGAAAGAGGAUGCUGCUUUUGUUAAUGGAAAUUCAUGAGUACUUGGAACACAGUGAUACAAUAAUUCCUAAGUCUGGGGUCAACAGGGACCUAUGUUUGUUGGCAGGAGGCACCGGCUCAAAUCAAAUCAGCAGUAACAUUAAGACCAUCAAAAUCAAGAGCUCUUAAAGUGGUGCCAUAUACAAGUUUGAUGCAUAGCUAUAAAUGAUGUAGCUGCUUGAAGUCACAGAAUCUGUCUGUGGUGCUUUUGUUACCUCUACUUUCUCCAUCUGAACUGAGCUGAACACCACCUAAGUCUGAUCAUGAGUUUCCUGUUCCAUAAUGGGACCAACACCAAGGACUCUGUCCACUGAUUUGCUGCAACCAUAACAUUUGCUCCCCCCUUCUCUUUUUCAAGUAUUUCUCACAAUAAAAUAAGUACUUCUCCAUUCCACAGUUGGGAUAUAUAUUCAAAAAGUUGAGAUAUAUAUCUCAACUGUAUAAUGACAGGUGACUUUUUCCCUUACUUUAUAAAUUGAGGUUGAAAAGUUAACUAAUAUGGAGAUGAGUACAUACCUACUAAGUUGGAUCUGGGAUUUAAAUCCAAAGUGUUUGACUCCAUACUCUGCGCACUGACUUUGUUACUCCAAUAUAGAUCGGGCAGCAAGCCAGACAAAAAUCCCAGCUUCAGUUUCUGGCUCAUGAGGUUGACCAACAAUAUUUAAGUUAAAAUCAGUG